AAGCAUCUGAACUGAAGCUAAACUGUAGUUUUCAGGAGUUUGCAUCUUAAAGACUACAUUACCUUUAUAAGUGGGAAGAAAUUAAGUAACUUUAUGAGAAGAAAAUAGGUUGAUUUGUGUAUUUUGAAAUGGAGUUUAUAUCUUAUAAUAGGAGAAAGUCAAGAAGUUACAGGAAGUCACACCUCAGAACUUAAUUCUUUCUUUGAAUUUUCAAAAAUAAACACGUAAUGAUCAUUAGUUUGAAGAUUAUUUUUUAAUUGGCCAAUGGAUAAAAGAAAAAUGAAACUAAACUUUUGUAUCUGAAAAGAAUAUUGAGUAGAAAGCAUAACAGACAUGGAGUUAAGAAUAUUGGGAUAACUGCUUUUUUAAUUGACUUAAAUAUUUUA
rnacentral:lncRNA from 1 species